GGUGUGAGUAUUGCUUAUGAAGUACAGUCACAUCAAAGAAGAGAGUUUGGACUUUGUACCAACACCAGUUCCACUUUAUGAUCAGGCUCAGCACAGGAGUUUACUUGUUAGAGAAAGCCAAGAGUGCACAGUCGUAGCACUGUGGGGCGGAUCUGAAUUUGACACAGAAUUGAGGAUAUUUGUAUAUCUUCGGGUCAUAUACAAUACAUGUGAGGAUUAAAAAUGUAUUUCGUCGUAGUUCUGCUCUUGUUUGGGACACUUUCAACAGUGAACAGUGAGACAUGGUCGCUGAGUUACGUCUACACUGCCCUAUCAAAACCAGUACAAUUGCCUGGUAUCCAUGAAUUCACUGCCAUGGGUCUGAUGAAUGACAAACAGAUUGACUACUAUGACAGUGUGGCAAAGAAGAAGAUUCCCAAACAGGACUGGAUGAGAGACAAGCUGCCAGCAGACUACUGGGAAAAAGGCACCCAGUCACGCAAGAGCAAGGAACAGUGGUUCAAAGUCAAUGUCAACAUCCUGAUGGACCGUAUGAGGCACAACGACACUGAUGUCCAUAUCCUUCAGUGGAAGCAUGGCUGUAAGGUUGCCAAACAGAGUGACGGCACAUUGAAAUUCAUAAAGGGCACUGACCAAUACAGCUACGAUGGUGACGACUUCCUGGCCUUUGAUGAUGCCACUAUGCAGUGGGUGGCCCCAGUCGUUCAAGCUGAGCCGACUAAGAGGAAGUGGGACGGGGUGCAGAUCCUCAACCAGUACACCAAGGGCUACCUGGAGAAGGAGUGUGUGGACUGGCUGUCCAAAUUCAUGGAAUAUGGGGACAAAUAUUUCAGUAGAGCUGACUCCCCUCCAAAGGUCCAUGCUUUUGCUAAAAAAGCCAAAAUUGCAGGACAUAUCCGACUGACUUGCAUGGCCACAGGUUUCCUUCCCAAAGAUGUGGUAAUGCAUAUUAAGAAGAAUGGGGUCCAAUUGACGAAACAUGAUGGAGUGCAGUCUGACGGAGUCUUACCCAAUGAUGACGACACCUACCAGAUCAGGAUGAGUGUGCAGAUUCCAGAGGAUGACAAGGAAACAUAUGAAUGUUAUGUCAACCAUGCAAUGUUGAAGGAGCCAGAUGUGGUCAAAUGGGAUGGAAAAUGCUAUGAUUGUAGCCAAGUCACAGUUGUUAUCAUUGGUGCUGUUGUUGGUGUUGUGGUCCUCCUGUUAACCGUGGUUAUCACACUGUUUGCUCUUUGGAAGAAAGGCAAAAUAUGUGCUGGUAAAACAGGAGCUCUACCACUUACUGGGAUCCAGGCACCUCUAAAUGUGACAAAGGAUGACGCUUAGCAGCACUUCCAGUGACUCUGGUCAAGGCAGCAAUGCAUGUCUAGAGAGGGAGCCAAUCCUGACAAAUGGAGCCACUGGGAGUGACUGACAACGCAUUCAAAUCCAGCAAAGAACGCGUGGUUUUGUUUUGUUAAUCAACAAAUACUGUCAAUCUAAAUGUGGUAAUUCCCAAGCAGAUCGGCUUGGAUAUGAAAUAGUUAUUUAUUAACAUUUGGAUAUUUUGAAUAUCGUAGUGUAAUUCCUUGUUUUAAUAAAAUUUAUCAAAUUAUUUUUCAACAAAUGGAUUGGUAAAUCGCCAAUAUGUUGGACAUUUUAAUUUAUUGGUAUUGGAACCAUUAGUCUAUUUCUAUUUUAAACUAGAGACCAAUCAUUUCAAUCUUUGCACACACAGAAACACACACACACACACACACUGAACUGCUUUUUAAAUAUGUUUUGUUUUUGUUUUUUAUGGAAAGUAUAAUAAAUUAUUAAUUAAUAAAGGACAGCUUUGAUUAACCAA